GACGAACGCUGGCGGCGUGCCUAACACAUGCAAGUCGAGCGGGGUCCAUCCAGUGGCAACACUGGGGAAGACCUAGCGGCGAACGGGUGAGUAACACGUGAGAAACCUGCCCUGAACUCUGGGAUAACCCGAGGAAACUCGAGCUAAUACCGGAUGUCCCCACCAGAUCGCAUGGUCCGGUGAGGAAAGAUUUAUCGGUUCAGGAGGGUCUCGCGGCCUAUCAGCUAGUUGGCGGGGUAACGGCCCACCAAGGCAUCGACGGGUAGCUGGUCUGAGAGGACGAUCAGCCACACUGGGACUGAGACACGGCCCAGACUCCUACGGGAGGCAGCAGUGGGGGAAUAUUGCGCAAUGGGCGAAAGCCUGACGCAGCAACGCCGCGUGCGGGAUGACGGCCUCGGUUGGUAACG
rnacentral:rRNA from 1 species